UUUUUAUCAACUUGGACUUUAUUCUCUCAUUGUAAGUCUCCUGGUUACUCAUUCUUCAUAAUUCACCACCUACACCCUGUAGAUUAGGCAGAUGUUUGAUUGAUAAUCUCCAUGACUAUUGGUAAAGCACAACACCAGACUGCACCACACUCCUCUUACCCAGGUGUAGUUAGGGGAGGGCUCAGAAUAGUAUAUGUGGUUUAGCUGUAGGAGCAGAAGGGUUGCAUAAUCAAGUAGUUUGAAAACUAGAUGAGUUCAGAAGGUGAACAUCAGAACCACUCUGGAGUUGUAUUUACAUGUUAUUUACAAUUUCUGCUCAUAACAGAAGUUAAAAAAAUUAUUCAAGACCCUAAACUACCAUAUUCCCAGAAGAAUCACUGAGACCUAAGGCUCCAAAGUCCCUCAAAUGUUAAUUUUUGAGACUAAUGAUGCUCUUUUUUGUUAACCUAAUGGAUUCUCACAUCAGUGGUGACCUUGUUGAGGUAGAGGUGGACUCACACCACCAACAUUUCCACUCAUUUUAUCAGCAUUCCUUAAAGUAUGGCUUCCUCCAUUUCUUAGAGCAUUUGUUUCGAGUGAUUUAUGUUAUUUUAGGAUAUCCAGACAACUUGGAGCCAAGUCCUCACAGCUGGAUCAGACAACUUUUGGUGACAUCUCACAGUGUGGAUUAUCAAGCCAGUGUAUUAGUCUGGAGGCUAGUUUUUUUUGCCUUUAGCUUUGCUCGGGAUGACUUCUGCUCUUCUAUGGCAAUACUUGAGAGGGGUUUAGACACAACUGUCCAGCAUUGAUGUGAAAACAGAGAACGUAAGGCUGAUAGAACAGAGUCUUUGUGGCAGUAAGAUACCAAAUUGUAAACAGGAGCUAAGACCAUGCCAGGCAAAAGUUAAGUCACACACUUCUGCACUUAAAGAAUAAACUAUGUUCUAAAUGCCAUCAGGUUUCUAUUUUUCUUCAGUAGCUAAACAAGCACUGGCCUCCAGGUAAGCAAUAUGAAAACAAUUUGUAGCGUAUUCACUGCCAGACACUGACUCCAUCCCCCUGUUCCACAAACUAUAGCUACAGCUUUGAUUAGACAAGAAGCUAUUUCAAUAACUUUCUCCUGAUAAGAAGACGACAGACCAUGGACGGAUUCUGGCCAGUUUUCAAAGGCUGCAUAUGUGAGUGCCUUUAUGUCCUGAAAAGACCUUAUAAAGCCUAAUUAUAAUAUAUUUAAAUGUUAAGUCUCCACCCCAAGGUGAACAUUGGUCAGAUGUAACAUGUACAUUUAUUCAGUAUGUGUGCAUUAGCAGGACCAUGAAUAUUCAUGGCUCCUUCUGCAACCCAUUGAAUAUGUUAGUCAACCCGUUCAGCAUAAAACUCCUAUCCCAAUCCCUCCUCCUUCAAAAUACCUGCCUUUCUGGCAUCAGCAAGAGUCCAUGUCAGAGGCUUGUCAGAAUUUGCCUGUCACCUUUGCGACUGUAACCCUUUAUAAGAAAUAUAGCUCUCCUUUUGAAAUUUAUAAAUUGUGUAAUUUUUAAGUUAACACCCCUCUAGAAAAUGAUUCAAUUUUCCUUGUCUUCCUUUUCUUUUGUCUUCUGAAGUCAGAAAUCCAGAAUCUGUUUGUUCUUAGGUCUCAGCCCUUUUAUUCUCUCCUAUUCUUUCACCAAGGAAGUUCUAUUAUUGCAGACAGUUAUGUGAGCUUGCAAAAUUAACCAUUCAUAGACUUUGGCCCCAGACUUUUUGCUGACUUGAGACCAUCAGCACUCAGGAUAUCAAUUUUUUAAAAAAUCCUUAGUACAGAGAUUUGAGUUAAUCAUAUUCCUUAUUUCAUGGCACAUUAUAAUUAUUGAGCUAUGCAGAUUCUUCUGUGGAAGAGUUGGUUAACUUUCAUCCCCAUUCUUUAUUCCCAGUCCUCUCCUCCUCCCUCACCAGAUAAUUAUUCUGAUGAGUUUACUGUGUAUCUCUUAAUUUGUACAGGUGCUUAUAAAGUAUGUAUUGUUACUUUUAUGUUCAUAGAGUUUUACUUUUAUGUAAGUGCUAUUUUUUGUUAGAUCUCAUCUUUUUUUCAUUUAGUAUCCAUGUUGCAGUAUGUAUGUCUAGUCCAUUGCUUCUAAUUGUGCUGUUGUUUUGCAUCUACUCAGUAUACCUCUGCACUUCCCUGGUGAUGAACGCUCAAAUUGCUUCUAAUUAAUUCCUCAGCACUAAAAAUAAUGUUGUGAUGAACAUCCUUUUACAUAUGUCCAUUAUGGAUCUCUGGGAGAUAUUUUUGGGGAUCAUAAACACAGAAGUAGAAUUUCUGGGUGAUAGGCUAUGUGUAUACUUGAUAUUGACUAGAUACUGUCAGAUAACUCUCCAGAACAGCUUUACUUUCUUACCAGUAGUACAUGAGAUUUCCUAAGCCCACAUCCCAGCCAACACCUAGCAAUAUCUAGUUUCCUAACUUUUUCCAGCCCAUUUCACUGUUACUUUGAUUUCCCUUAUUCAUGAGUUUGAACAUCUUUAUGUAUAUUUGUAAGUCAUUUUGAUUACCCUAUUCUAUACAUUGCCUGUUCAAAUACUUUGCCCAUUUUUCGGUUAAUUUUUUUUUACUUUAAGAAGUUCAUUGUAUGUUCUAGAUAUUAGUACGUUGUUAUUUUUAGACACUGCAAAUAAUUUCAAUGUGUCAACUGUCUGUUAACUUUGUUCAUAAUGUCUUUCACUGAACAGAAAUCUUUAAUUAUAAUGUAAUAAAAGUCAUCACUGUUUUUGUAUUAUGUGUGCAUGUAAAGUUCUGUCUACAAUGUUCUUUCCUGUGCUGAGAUUACUAGGAUAUUUUGGCAUAUUUUCUUCUCUUUGUUGUUUUAAGCUUCAUAUUCAGAUAUUUAUUUCAUUUGAAGUCUACCUUUCUAUGUGAUUUUAGGUGAAGAUCCAAUUUUGUUUUUAUCUACGGCAUGAGCCAGGUUUGCAACUUCUUCUAUUAAUCUGUCCUUUUCCCGUUGAUAUAUGGUACCCACUUUACUAUAUGUUAAGUUCCCAUAUAAACAUACUUAAUUUCUAAGCUCCUUAUCAUGUUUCAUUGAUCUGCUUGUCAUUGCAAUAAUAUCACAUUGUUAUUAUUACUUGACUAUGUAGUAUGCCUUAAUACUCGGAAGGGCAAGUACCCACUCUUUGCCUUUUUCUUGAAAUGUUGACUCACCUGUUCGUGGAUGUUUAUUCUUCCAUAAAAACUUGAGGUUAUUGAACUUCUCAAGAAAUUCAACACCAAUAUUUUGAAGUAUUUGUGAUUGUAUUGAAUUUAUAGAUUAAUUUGAAUUAACAUGUUUAUAAUAUUAAGUCAUCCCACCCAAGAUAUGGAAUGUCACUCCAUUUAUUCAGAUGAUCUUCUAUGUCAUUUAUUAGAUUUAAAAAUUUUCUCCAUGGAAGUAUUAUAUGUUGUCAUUAUUUUCUAGUUAUUUUACAUUUUUUGUUGCUGUCCUGAAUGAUAUCUUGUUUUUAAAUACAUUUUGUAAUUGGUUAUUGUUGGAGAGAAGAGCUCUUUUAAUUUUUGUAACUUGAUCAUUUCUGAUAAACUUGCUGAAUUAUCUUAUUAGUUGUAAUACUUUGUUGAUUAGGUGCUUUUUUCUAGCUAGAGACUCAUAUGAUCUUAUUUGCAAAUAAUGUCAUUUGUUUUCUUUUUUCUUUCAACCAGUGUAUUUAUUUCUCUUUCUUUCCUUAUAGCUUAGGGCAGGGCACCCCACUAUGUUAAACACUAAUAAUUGUAUUGCUCCUGAUUUUGCUUCUGAAGGGAAUGCCUCUAAGAUUUCUUCAUUUAUUAUGAGAUAUACUGUAUUUUUUGAUAUGUAACACUUACCAAAUUAAUAAAUAUCCAUUUAUUUCUUGUA